UACGGUGGGUCCAAGCGUUAUCCGGAUUUAUUGGGGUUUAAAGGGUGCGCAGGCGGUUCGUUAAGUUAGAGGUGAAAUCCCGUGGCUCAACCACGGAACUGCCUCUGAUACUGGCGGGCUAGAGAGAGGUUGCUGUGGGCGGAAUGUGUGGUGUAGCGGUGAAAUGCUUAGAGAUCACACAGAACACCGAUUGCGAAGGCAGCUCACAAAGCCUCAUCUGACGCUCAUGCACGAAAGCGUGGGGAGGCAAACAGGAUUAGA
rnacentral:rRNA from 1 species